rnacentral:rRNA from 1 species
AAUGAACGCUGGCGGCGUGCCUAAUACAUGCAAGUCGAGCGAACAGAUGAGGAGCUUGCUCCUCUGACGUUAGCGGCGGACGGGUGAGUAACACGUGGAUAACCUACCUAUAAGACUGGGAUAACUUCGGGAAACCGGAGCUAAUACCGGAUAAUAUAUUGAACCGCAUGGUUCAAUAGUGAAAGACGGUUUUGCUGUCACUUAUAGAUGGAUCCGCGCCGCAUUAGCUAGUUGGUAAGGUAACGGCUUACCAAGGCAACGAUGCGUAGCCGACCUGAGAGGGUGAUCGGCACACUGGAACUGAGACACGGUCCAGACUCCUACGGGAGGCAGCAGUAGGGAAUCUUCCGCAAUGGGCGAAAGCCUGACGGAGCAACGCCGCGUGAGUGAUGAAGGUCUUCGGAUCGUAAAACUCUGUUAUUAGGGAAGAACAAAUGUGUAAGUAACUAUGCACGUCUUGACGGUACCUAAUCAGAAAGCCACGGCUAACUACGUG